rnacentral:rRNA from 1 species
GUUUGACCCCCCGAAACUAGACGAGCUACUUUUAAACAGCCUUUCAGGGCCAACCCGUCUCCGUAGCAAAGGAGUGGGAAGAUUUAACAGUAGAGGUGACACGCCUAUCGAGCCUAGAGAUAGCUGGUUAUUUAGGAAAAGGAUCUGAGUCCACCUUUAAGUUUUCUUAGUAUACCUAACCCUGCCCGAAACUUAAAAGCCAUUCAAAUAAGGUACAGCCUAUUUGAGUAAGGAAACAGCCUGCAACACAGGGUAAUGCCCGGCUUCAUGUGACCAGGUGGGCCUAAAAGCAGCCAACCUCCAAAAAGCGUUCAAGCUUCACCACUAGCCGUUAAUAAUUCCAUUAUCACCCCACAACCCCCCUACACAACUAAAUAAUCCCCUAUAAUUAUGGGAAAUAUUAUGCUAGAACCAGUAACAAGAAGUAGCCCUUCUCCUAAAUGCAAGCGUAAGUCAGAAAUGAACAACUCACUGACACUUACCGCCACUAAAC